rnacentral:rRNA from 1 species
UACAGAGGUCUCAAGCGUUGUUCGGAAUUAUUGGGCGUAAAGGGCGCGUAGGCGGUGCGGUAAGUCACCUGUGAAAUCUCCUGGACUCAACCGGGAGCUUGCAGGCGAAACUGCCGUGCUGGAGUAUGGGAGAGGUGCGUGGAAUUCCUGGUGUAGCGGUGAAAUGCGUAGAUAUCAGGAGGAACACCUGUGGCGAAAGCGGCGCACUGGACCAUAACUGACGCUGAGGCGCGAAAGCUAGGGAGCAAACAGG